rnacentral:lncRNA from 1 species
ACUCUAUGGGGACCAACCACCAGACAAAAGUUCUAAAAACCAACAAAUAUCCUUGCACUGCUGGAUGAAUCAUCUCUGUCAAGGAGAAGAGAAACACCGCUCCGCUGAGGAUAGAAAAAAUAAACUUUUUCAACACCCGCUCUGCUCAGGAGGAAAUAUCAAAAAGGCUAUGGUCAGAUAACUCCACUGGGGAAACACUGCUGAUGACUGAACCGGGAACAAACUGUAGGCGAUCAGCUGGAGAUAAC